rnacentral:rRNA from 1 species
AUUGAACGCUGGCGGCAUGCCUUACACAUGCAAGUCGAACGGCAGCACGGGGCAACCUGGUGGCGAGUGGCGGACGGUUGCGAAAUGCAGCGGAACGUACCUGACAGUGGGGGAUAAUGUGGGGAAAGUUACGAUAAUACUGCAUAUUCUGUGAUCAGGAAAGCAGGGGAUCGUAAGAGCUUGCGAUGAUUGAGCGGCCGAUGUCAGAUUAGCGAGUUGGUGGGGGAAAGUGUGUCCAAGGCGUCGAUCUGUAGCGGGUCUGAGAGGAUGAUCAGCCACGACGGAACUGAGAGACGGUCAAGACGCCUACGGGAGGGAGCAGUGGGGAAUUUUGGACAAUGGGGGCAACACUGAUCCAGCAAGGCCGCGUGGGUGAAGAAGGCGUUCGGGUUGUAAAGCUCUUUCGGCCGGGAAGAAAUCGCACGGGCUAAUACCCGGUGUGGAUGACGGUACCGGAAGAAGAAGAACCGGCUAACUACGUGCCAGCCGCCGCCGUAACAC